CCCAGACUCCUACUUAUUGGCACAGAAGUCUUUGCUUUGACAAUUGCGCCUGAGUGUUUUAACGCCUGGAUGGCCCUGCUGCAGUUUUUUUGACCGUGUUUUGAAAAGUGACUUUGGUACAUGUGGUGGUAACUGGCACAGCACCAUGGGCUGGCGACGUGGCAGUGUGACGGGCUGGAGCAGCUUGAACUCGGCGGCUGAUUUGUGUUCUCUGGCUUCCUGCUGCUGCUGCUGCUAUGUGUCCAUAGGCACCAAGCGGCCAAGGAAGACACGGAGCCCAGGACCUUCUGUCUGAUAGGGAGGCCUGGCGUGAUGCAAUUCAUGGGGUCGCAGAGUCGGACACAACUGAGCGACUGAACUGAACUGAAAUAUAGUUAAGUUCUUCUCAUGAGCUUGAUAUAUGUCUUGCUUCUACAGGUGAGAUGCCGAGAUUCAGAGAAAUUAAGGGACUUGCCCAAGAUCAAGUAGCUGUGUGUGGUGAUGAUGACUGCUACAGUUUGGUGCCCGUUUGAUUCAGACUCGAGAGAUGGGAUUUCUACUCACCCCUGCUUUCGUAGUUUCAGUGCAAAUGUCAACAAGAUGAAAAAUGCAACAAAUGUUGUCAUACAAUUAUGAAGAGGGUUUUAACUUCAUGAACACCUGGGAAAUGACUCAGGGAUUCCUCAAGGCUCUAUGGACUAUACUUUGAGAACGGCAGGUACAGUAGAUGAAAUUAAUGACUAAAGG
ensembl:lncRNA